UACAGAGACUGCAAGCGUUAUUCGGAUUCACUGGGCGUAAAGGGUGCGCAGGCGGCCAAGUGUGUGAGGCGUGAAAGCCCGGGGCUUAACCCCGGAAUUGCACCUCAAACUACAUGGCUAGAGCAUUGGAGAGGGUAGCGGAAUUCACGGUGUAGCAGUGAAAUGCGUAGAUAUCGGGAGGAACACCGAUGGCGAAGGCAGCCUCCUGGGCCAACACUGACGCUCAUGCACGAAAGCGUGGGGAGCAAACAGG
rnacentral:rRNA from 1 species